UACGGAGGGAGCUAGCGUUGUUCGGAAUUACUGGGCGUAAAGCGCACGUAGGCGGCUUUUUAAGUCAGGGGUGAAAUCCCGGGCUCAACCCCGGAACUGCCCUUGAAACUGGAGAGCUAGAAUCUUGGAGAGGCGAGUGGAAUUCCGAGUGUAGAGGUGAAAUUCGUAGAUAUUCGGAAGAACACCAGUGGCGAAGGCGACUCGCUGGACAAGUAUUGACGCUGAGGUGCGAAGCGUGGGAGAAACAGGAUUGAG
rnacentral:rRNA from 1 species